rnacentral:rRNA from 1 species
CCUACGGGGGGCAGCAGUGGGGAAUAUUGGACAAUGGGCGAAAGCCUGAUCCAGCCAUGCCGCGUGUGUGAAGAAGGCCUUCGGGUUGUAAAGCACUUUCAGUGGGGAAGAAAGCCUUGGGGCUAAUACCCUCGAGGAAGGACAUCACCCACAGAAGAAGCACCGGCUAACUCCGUGCCAGCAGCCGCGGUAAUACGGAGGGUGCGAGCGUUAAUCGGAAUUACUGGGCGUAAAGCGCGCGUAGGCGGUCUGAUAAGCCGGUUGUGAAAGCCCCGGGCUCAACCUGGGAACGGCAUCCGGAACUGUCAGGCUAGAGUGCAGGAGAGGAAGGUAGAAUUCCCGGUGUAGCGGUGAAAUGCGUAGAGAUCGGGAGGAAUACCAGUGGCGAAGGCGGCCUUCUGGACUGACACUGACGCUGAGGUGCGAAAGCGUGGGUAGCAAACAGGAUUAGUACCCCAGUAGUC